CCUUGAGUCGCAAAAACUUUUCUGCUGCAGCCACAAUACUAUCUAGUUUCUUCGAGUUAUUUGAGACUUGUGCGUACAAUUUAUAACCGUGGCAAUGAACUCAACAAAAAAAAAAAAAACAUUUUAAUAUCAGUAUGUGUACAGUAGAUGGCGCUAUAUCCCCACGGAUGGUGUGGGACUCAAUCAGAAGAAUUGCAAUGCAGUGUCGUGGCGCAGCGGUCUAUGGCGGUCUAUGGCGGUCUAUGGCACUGCAUCUCAGUGCAAGAGGUGUCACUACAGUCCCCGGUUUGAAUCCAGGCUGUAUCACAUCCGGUCGUGAUUGGGAGUCCCAUAGGGCGGCGCACAAUUGGCCCAGUGUCAUCUGGGGGGCACUCCAGGAACUUGGGAUCAUGAUCCCCACCACAAAUGCAACACAUUCGUCCUUUUAUAUUAUACUCUGUUCGUCUGCACACACUUGAAACAUGAUCAAAUCCUUCACAAUUCUUACACUGCAGUGGUCUGGGGACGAAAGCUCUUACAUAACUGUAGUGUCUUAGCUCUUAUUACUUAUUUAUAAAAUAAGAAAGACUCUGAAUGCAAAGAAAUUAACUGGAGCUUCACAUUUACUAAAACGAGUUGGUUCCAGAAUAACAUAGAACAACACUGCGCAUGACCAAGGUUGCGCCAUUCUUAAAGGGGACAUCAGCAAUUAACAGAACAUAACAAUAACCAAGCUUUACAUGCGUAGGUAUUUGCUCUUUAUCAAAAAACAACAGGACUGCCAUACUUUAUUAUUUUUCCUCCAUUCACCCAGCGGGUCAGACUCCGGGCACCAGCCACACCAGGAAUUAUUUUCAGGUAUUCAACCUGAACAUCCGUCGUCACCCCUGAGAUGACUCUUUUGAUGGGUGUCUCUACUCCGAAGUUCAAAACACAAAACUUCUGUUGUCCAGAUUCUUUUGAGGCCCACUGCAAUCUUCCUCUGCUCUUCAGAAAUAAAAGUAAUUUAAAUAAGACCACUCCUGGUCCCUCUAACAGACUCCACUUUUCCAAGCGCAUACUUCACAAUUUGACGCUUCAAAGCGAGGUACACAACAAACGCAUCCUUACUCAAGAAGCGAUUCGUUAUCAUUUACUGUUCCAGUUGUAGACAAUUACCAUGUUUUUCUCAAUUCAGUUUCCGUUACUACUGUUGUCCAUUCAGAACAUUCGCUGCCUAAUUCGAACUCAGCAUCCUCUUCCGCCAUCUUUCUCUCCACUGAAAAGAUCUGACCGAGUACUUCUUUCUUUGAGGUUUUAUGGCAGACUACACCUAUUGGUGUAUUGCCGCCACCUACUCUACGGGUUAUUGAAACAAAACAAACAAUCAUGUGUUCCAUUGCUGAAGGGGAGGGGGGAUAAUGCAAAAUAUACAAAUAAAUAAAUCAAACAACCAUCCCAUUUCAGUCACAUUCAAAUCCCAUCCUUACACAGACGGAGCAUUCAUCAACAGUAUUCCCGAGUCCCCAAAAACG
ensembl:lncRNA